GCUAAUGGUCAGAGCAGACGGCUCAUAACCGUCCUGUCGUAGGUUCGAGUCCUAC
rnacentral:tRNA from 1 species